GUUUGGUCACUGUAAAGCUUCUACUUCUUAAUUCUCGGUCUGUAUUUUACAGACACUUCAUAGCACAACCCAUGCGGUAGUCAUGCAGUAAGCAUUGCUUUGUUAUUGUCCUAUUUUAGAUGAAAAAUAGAGAUAUAAUAGAGAGGAAGGGGAAACUAGGGGUGAAGAAGACAAAGUUCUACCCCGUCAUCAUCAGGGCAUGUUUGAAGACCCAUGCAGGUGCUAAUUAGGAGAACGACAUAGAGUGAUGCAUUGGGGAUUUCCUGAAGCGAGCUGCCUUUCUCCCAGGGAGGGAAAAUAUAAGCUGGUUUUAAAAAAGUGUGGGGAAAUGCCAGGGACCAAAACACCAGGACCCUUAAUGGAAGUGUACAACUCCAUGCACUUGCAAGCAAGCUUGCUAAACGCAAGCGUGAUGUAAGUAGUGCAAAUGUGCAUUAAUUGAUAGGAACUUUCAUUGUUUACUAUUUAUU